rnacentral:lncRNA from 1 species
CAUGAAACAGGACAGGAGUACUUCAGUUUGUAUUGGUCUUGCCAUUAGCCUGGUGAGCUUCCUCUAAUGAUUUAACUGUAUUUAUAUUACAGCUGAACCUUGCACUUCCUCUUGCUGUGAAUUGCAGGUACAAACAGUAUUCACCAGUUUCUCCUUUGAGUAUAUUAUACAGUCCCAUAAGAGACUCUGCAUCUGUUUUCCAGUACAGCUGAUUGUGCUUGGCUCUCCACCAUGUCACUGCAGCAAAGGAAGGCUUGUAGACAACCCAAGAUCUACCUUGAGCAGUGAGACUUAAAAGGUGAGCAGGCUUCGUUGCGACAUGGAUUUCCUGUCAUAGUGAGCUACACCGCCAAGAUAAUCUCAUUCCUCUAGCAGUUGAACUGUAAUUUGCCUCAUUAUUCUGAUUUUUUUUAUGGUGAAAUACCAUAAUAGAGAUGAUGUCUUCCAAAAGAGACCAUGACAGAGAUGGGGAGAAAACAGAAGGGACUUGAGAGAGAGCAAGGAGACAAGAGACAGAGGAGGUGGAGAGGACCUAGGAAGGAUUAUCAGCUGACUGGAGGAACUGAGGAGCAAGAGCAGUGCUUCUGCUUCCCACCUGAGUGUGCACCAGCCGCCACUGGAGUCAUACACUGUAGUGUAUCUAUGACUUCUGUUUUUCUGUUCCUCUCUGAGGGCAUGUAGGAA